rnacentral:rRNA from 1 species
ACUCAAAGGAAUUGACGGGGGCCCGCACAAGCGGUGGAGCAUGUGGUUUAAUUCGACGCAACGCGCAGAACCUUACCAGCCCUUGACAUGUCCAGGACCGGUCGCAGAGAUGUGACCUUCUCUUCGGAGCCUGGAACACAGGUGCUGCAUGGCUGUCGUCAGCUCGUGUCGUGAGAUGUUGGGUUAAGUCCCGCAACGAGCGCAACCCCCGUCCUUAGUUGCUACCAUUUAGUUGAGCACUCUAAGGAGACUGCCGGUGAUAAGCCGCGAGGAAGGUGGGGAUGACGUCAAGUCCUCAUGGCCCUUACGGGCUGGGCUACACACGUGCUACAAUGGCGGUGACAAUGGGACGCUAAGGGGCAACCCUUCGCAAAUCUCAAAAAGCCGUCUCAGUUCGGAUUGGGCUCUGCAACUCGAGCCCAUGAAGUUGGAAUCGCUAGUAAUCGUGGAUCAGCAUGCCACGGUGAAUACGUUCCCGGGCCUUGUACACACCGCCCGU